rnacentral:lncRNA from 1 species
GUACUGUAUCAAACCGCCAGAACUGCGCCAACAUCCUUGAAGUACCUCGGAGUUGGGAUGCAAAGUGGCUCAUACACAGUACACCUCCAAUUUGCAGAGAUUAUCAUCGGCACUGGCCAGGAUGGACCAGGAGUGGGUAGACGGUAUUUUGACAUCUUUAUCCAGGGGGACAGGAAGCUCAAAGAUUUCAACAUAAGGGAAGAAGCGAAUGGGUCUCUUAGAGCUUUGACAAGGAGCUUCACUGCCGUUAAUGUAUCUAACGGCGUUCUCGACAUUCAUCUUCUUUGGAUGGGAAAAGGAACUUGUUGUGCUCCAUUCAGAUCUUUUGGUCCUCUGAUAUCCGCAAUCCAAGUUCUACCUGGUAUGUGUUAGAUACUACUGAAGUUUGUCAUCGUUCUAAACUUGCGUUUAACAGAAUUUGAAACUGGUGGCGCGAGUCAGAGCGAAAACAGUUCCAGAGGCGUAAAAAUAGGUGUUGGAAUCUCCGUGCCACUCCUGGUGCUCUUUGUGGUUUCCGGUUAUUUGUUGUGGAGGAAACGACACAGAAAGAACUUAGAGAACGACGAUGAAGGUCACUUUUUUGUUAAUGUUUUUGCGGAUUAUUCAUACUAAUGUUCUGUGUGAUGCAGAGCUCAAACUUCUAGACGGAAAGCUGCAUAUGUUUUCUUACAAUGAAAUAAAAAACGCUACGGCAGGAUUUGACCCCGCGAGAUUGUUGGGAAAAGGAGCAUUUGGCAAGGUCUACAAGGUAAAGUUUUCUUUAUGCAGAAAGUGAAAAAAGCUAAAGUGUUUGGACUUUCAGGGGGUAUUAUCUGAUGGUACGUUAGUAGCGAUCAAGCAGCUUAAUAAGAUGGGCGACAACACGGGCGAUUUCGUGAACGAGGCCACACUUAUCUCCACAGUGCAGCAUCGCAAUCUAGUCAAGCUCUAUGGAUGCUGCACCGAAGGAAACAAUUGGAUUCUUGUUUUCGAGUUUAUGGAAAACAACAAUCUGCAUCAGGCGCUCUUGAGUAAGUACUUUAAUCUAGUGCUUCCCUCAUCCUCCAUGUAUUCUGUAGGUCCCUCGGGGCGAAAUAUACACCUCAGCUGGCCAACUCGCUUCAACAUAUGCAUUGGAGUCGCAAGAGGGCUCGCCUACUUGCACGAGGAGUCAUCACCGCGUAUUAUACAUCGAGACAUCAAAGCUACCAAUGUACUUUUGGAUCAAGCUCUGGUGGCAAAGAUAGCGGACUUUGGUUUGGCAAGGCUCUUCGAAGAUCAUCAGUCUCACAUCAGUACGAGGGUUGCCGGAACAAUGUGAGAGCUCAACUUGUAAGUGCUUGAGCUGAUCUUCUCCGAUUCUUCUUUCAGGGGAUACCUGGCUCCAGAAUACGCCCUGAGAGGCCAGCUGACCGAGAAGGCAGAUGUCUACAGCUAUGGAGUUUUGGCACUAGAAAUCGUGAGCGGAAGAACCAAUCUGGACACCACCAGUGAACACAUGACCCAUCUUCUCGAUCACGUACGUAUAAAGAUCGACGAAAUGUUCUACUUCUUAACUGCCGUCGAUGAUCAGGCAUGGGAUCUGUACCAAAAUGAUAAGCUACGAGAGCUCCUGGACAAAAGAGCGGAUGAUGCGGACGAAGAACAAGUUCUAAGAACGAUCAAGGUGGCGCUUCUUUGCACCCAAGCGACAGCAUCACAGCGUCCAGCAAUGUCCAAAGUUGUGGCGAUGCUCACUGGCAGCGAGGAGGUGAAGGUGAGCUCCUUGCUCCCGGGAUACUUCAGCGCCAUGGACAUGGUUCCGCGGAUGCGAGAGCUGCUAAGCAAAGACCGAGAGAGCCGAGAGAGCCGAUCGAGCAAAGAUCCUAGCAGCAGUGCAAGCAGCAGCGCGAUCGGGACUGACUCGCCAUGGAGAGGAUCUUCCUCGGCAAACAACGGUAUACUUCCAAGGUAGAGUCUCCAUCUCUCGAGUUUUGAGCUUCCAGGAUGAUGCGAAGGACUUUACAAUAGUACUCCAAGUUUUGAGCUUCCAGGACGAUGCAAAAUACUUCCACAUAUCUCUCGAGUUUUGAUUACAACAGUAUACUUCCAAUGUAGAGUGGAAAGAAGCUUCAUAUAUGAGCUUUAUCAGCGAGAUAGAGAUAAAGAUUGUGGGCGGUAAACCUAAACUGUAUAGCGAAAAUGCUGUAGAGAUGGCAGGAAUAUGCCCAGCCCCGGCAUCUCGAAAGAAAGCAUCGAUUCUUUAACCAUUAAAUCUCUCGCAAACGACUAUCUGUGAAAAAGAAAAGGAAGAAAGAUAGGUUGAUCAAUAUGAUCGAAGAGGUUACCUCGUCUAAGUCUUUCAAAUGUCUGUAGCUCGCCAUUGCCACCUCCAUGGAUUUGCUUUCUCGCAAACACGAGUAGACAGCCCUGUAGAUGCUCCUAGAAAUCCAAAACUUAGAAAAGUUUUUCCUAGCUCUUGCGCGUUUGCAAGCUUCGCAUAGCCAUGGUCGAUCGAGCAGCACGAAUGGGCAACGAGUGUGAUAGCUUGAUUGAGGCUCGCGAGACCAUCGGCCGGGAUCAGGGAUGAGCUGCCGCAAUGGAAGAAAUGCCGCCACUUCCACUUCCAGAUCCUAUUCAUCUCUGGCAGAUCCUAUCAAGCUCCACUCCCUCCACGACGUGCUCGCGGCCAUCGAUUCCUUGAAAUCCCCCCAAAGCAUCGCGACCUACGCCUCUGCCAUCCGACUUUGCGGGAAUUCGAGAUCGCUCUCCGCCGCCAGGCGAAUCCGCGAUCACCUCGUUGGAAAUGGCUGGGAUCGAAACACCUUCCUCGGCAAUCUCCUGGUGGAAUUGUUUGGCAAAUGCGGCAGCUUGGACGAGUCCCGCCGGGCAUUCGAGAGAAUCGCGACGCCCAACACCUACUCAUGGAACAUCAUGACGGCAGCCUACACCGGCAAUGGGAAUCUCCACGAUGCCAGGAGGAUCUUCGCCCAGAUGCCCGACAAAGAUAUCGUGUCGUGGAACGCCAUGGUUACCGCAUAUUCCCAGGCGCGGCAUUUUCUGCCUGCACUAGACAUGUUCGACAAGAUGCCGCAGUGGGAUGUCUGGUCGUGGAACGCAAUCAUGAGGGUAUAUUCUCUGUCUGGCUCUCUCGACACCGCAAAGGAUCUUUUUGACAAGAUGCCUCAGCGGACAAUCGUGUCCUGGAACACGCUGGUUGCGGAAUAUGCCCAGAAACGGCAUCUCCGAGAUGCCGUGGAAAUGUUUGAGAAGAUUCCAAUGAGGGAUAUGGUGCUGUGGAACGAGGUGGUCAUGGUCUUCCUUGACGUGGGAAUGGCGAACGAGGCCAUCGAGCUCUUGGAGGCGAUGCCGCAGCGCGAUACCGUCUCUUGGAACACGCGAACGAAGGCGUUUGUGCAGAUUGGAGAUCUCGUAAAUGCAAAGAGGUCGUUUGAUUCCACUCCAAAGCCGGACUUGGCAUCAUUUACUACAAUGGUGGCGGCGUUUUCGCAGCAGGGGAAGCUCCGAAACGCGAGAGAGAUGUUCGAUCGGAUGCCCUGUCGAGACACCGUGGCGUGGACGGCAAUGGUCUCGGCUUAUGCCCAAAACGGGCAUGUCAGCAGCGCGAGAAAUCUGUUCCAUGAGAUGCCAGAGAAGAACCUGGUGUCGUGGAAUGCAAUGGUGGCGGCUUACGGACAGAACUGCGAUGGAGCUACUGCAGUUCAUCUGUUUAGAUUGAUGGAUCUUGAGGGUAUUCAAGUGGAUUCUAUAAGUUUGGUGAGUGCUUUGGAUGGAUGUUCUUCGAAGACAGCUCUGGCCGAAGGGAGAAUUCUCCAUGCUGCUGCUGUGGAGCUGGGCUUUGAUCAAGAUACAACGGUUGCAAACUCGCUAGUUGCAAUGUAUGCGAGCUGUGGAUGCCUUGGUGAAGCUCGCAAGCUGUUUGAUGGAAUUCUAGCAAAGAAUGUGGUGUCUUGGUCGACCAUGGUCGCUGCUUACGCACAGAACAGCAAGACUCAUGAAGCACUUCACCUGUUUAGAACUAUCCCGCUUGAAGGAGUGAUGCCAAACGAGGUGACUCUCACAAUUGUCUUAAGCCUGUGUAGUCAAACUGGUAAAUUACACGAUGCAAGGGAGAACUUCAUACUUGUGACUGGAGAUUUUGGAAUUGAGGCACGAAUGGAUCACUUCAUGUGUAUUGUGGAUCUUAUUGCAAGAUCGGGGAGAUUAGAAGUGGCAGAGGAGCUAAUAAACAACAUGCCAUUUGAGGCAGAUCCUUUGGCAUGGAGGACACUGCUUAGUGCUUGUAGGAAUCAAGAGAACUCAAAGCUUGGAGCCCAGAUUGCUGGCCAAGCACUUGAUGCAACAAUGUCAGAUUCAGCUUCUUAUGUUCUCUUGUCAAAUAGCUUCUGUUGAUCCUUUAAAAAAAAAAUCAAUUAACUAUUACUUCAUUUAAAAACUAAGUAAAUAAAAUAAAAUUACAUUUGAUUAAGUAUAUGAUUCUAACUGUAAAAAAAAAAUUUAGGUGUGUUUCUUAAAAUGGUCAAUUGCAUAGAGUACUUUCCUUCCAAUAAAUGUUAAAAUUAUAUAAUACUUCUUUUAUAUUUAAUUGUUUUAUUUAGAAACAAUAAAAGAUAAAAUUAAUAAAGUAGUUGUGAGGUUCAAAUCAGUAGAAAUGGAUUAAGAUGCUUAUAUUUCCUGUGAAGACAAUAAAAAUUUAAAUUAAAUAGGAUGUAAUAUAAGAAAAAUAAAAGUUUCAUUCUCAGAUAAUUCUAGAGCAAAAGGGUGUUAGUAGACAAUGGACAAUAAACAAUUUUCAACAUUUACCUCAAUCUAAUCUUAACAAAUAAGGAACUUUUUAUUAACUUGCAAUAUAAACAUUACCUAGAAAAAGAAUUAGCCAUUGCUGAGAAAAAAUAGGCUUUGAUAAUAAUGUUUAUGAAAACAAAACUUUAAUUGAAGGCAUUUUACACUUCAACAUAGACAUCAGCUUUGGAUUGACUCUUUUCUUGUGGCUAAAGAUCAUAAGGUUGUUACUAUUCUUGACUUAAAAGUAUAAGUAUCACAAACUUUAUCAUUGAUUGUAUUCAUGUUUUCGAAUUGGUUUCAAAUUUCUAACAGUACUUCACCUGGCUGGACAUCAUAGGUACAUUCAAAAUGGAAACCCCCUUGGAAACCCCACCACAAUUGGGGAUGGAAAAGGAGUGUAACAUGGAAUUUGCAGCAGUCUUGUAGGGACAGCUCCUGGGGGUAUUCAGGUCAAACCUCCUCAUACCUGUAUGGCAAGCUUGCCCUCCACAACAAAUACUGUCUCACUCCAAUCAGCCACUUCUUCUUCACCUUGGAAGGUCAGCGAUGGUGUACUUAUAGAAAAGACCAAGGACAUCUAAUCUUGCAGAGGAGCCCUAAAUUGCUCAAAACUUAUACUAUCCAGCCGGGUGAACGCUUCCACCACCACCACCAGUGUCUGGCCUGUUAGCUCCAUCUCAGACCUCAGUCGCAGCACCAAACUAUCCUCGUCGUUUGCUCAGACGCCAUGAGUUCGGCUCGUGGUACCGAUCGUAUAGCGGCUUUAUACGUUCCUCCCGCUUCCUCUUGCUCAACUUGGUUGGAUCGGCUGCCUUGAAGAACCUGGGAGCAAGCUCGACCAGCCACUUUGGAUCGAUGACUGUAAUUUCUCGCAUGUACUCCUUGGUCGUCAUAACCAGCUCAUUGUAAAUCACCCAGUCGGGCUGAUGCUGGAAGAGUGCACUGCUUGGAUGAAUGUAGACAGGCUGGUUCUCCACAAUCGUCCUGUAUCCUUCCUGAGGAUCCUUGCGUGCGGCAUGGAAAAAAAAUCCAGCACAUGUAGCCUUCCUGAUCCUUGUCAAGUUCUUCCCAGCACUCACCACCUCCAGCUUAUGUUUGUCCAUGAUCGUAAGCAGCUGCUUCCUCACGUCCUGUGCCUUUCGUAGUGAUCGAGACUGUACAAAGUUCUCGAAGCACCAUGGUCCGGAGAACUUCUUAUCACUCCACGCCUCGUAGACAGCAAGUAGCGUCAGGUGAUCACCCUCCGGCUGGAAAAACCUGGCUCUCUUUUGAUCCGCCUGGGCCUGCUUCUCCCCAGGACGAUAGAAAAUGUUUUGCGCCUGGAGCAUCGAAAUGAUCGUGAGUAUCUCGUCGCUGCAGCCGAGGUCCACGCUCGCCAGGAGCAUCUUGGACAGAGGUGGCUCCAAAGGAAACUCCGCCAUCUUUCGCCCCACCUUGGUCAGCAAACCUUCUUCAUCCAACGCUUGCAAGCUGUAGAGCUGCAUCAUGGCAGAAACCAGCGCCUGGGACUGUGGAGGAUCCAUGAAGUCGAAUGAGAGCAAAUCGUUGAUCCCCAUGGCCUUCAUCAUCAGAACCGUCAUCCCGAGAUUCACCCUCUGUAUCUCUGGGACGCUCGUCGGAAGCAUCUCGUUCCAGAACGAGCCCUCGGUGUAAAGCCGAAAACACUUUCCGGGCCCUGUUCUUCCUGCACGACCAGCUCUCUGCUUGGCUGACGCUUGAGAUAUAGGAGUGAUCACCAGCGAGUCGAAUCCCAGCUUCGGAUUGUACACCUUUUGCUUUGCAAAUCCCGGAUCAACGACGUAGUAAAUGCCAUCAAUUGUCAGGGAUGCCUCUGCAAUAUUGGUAGCAAUGACGAGUUUCCUCGUCCCCGCAGGAGCUGGAUCGAAGAUUCGAGUCUGCAUCUCGCUGGGAAGAGCGCUGUAGACCGGCAGGACGAUCAACUCUGGCACAUUCGGUCCCAGAUCCUUCAUACGUUCAUGCAAAAUCUCGCAAGCGGUGUCAAUCUCCUCUUGUCCCGUUAGAAAGAGCAAUACGUCCCCCUCCGGUUCCGUAAGGUGGAUUUGCAUCACCGUGGUCAAUGCCGCAUCCAGGUAGUCGGUCUCUGGCUGCUUGGUGUAGAGAAUCUCGACUGGAAAAGAGCGUCCUGGUAUGGUGAAGAUGUUGCAGUUGAAAAAGUAGGCCGAGAACUUCUCAGCGUCCAGAGUUGCCGACGUGACAAUGAGCCGCAAGUCAGGCCGCCGCUUCACCAGGCUCUUGAGCAACCCGAAAAGAACAUCCGUGUGGAUUGUUCUCUCAUGAGCCUCGUCCAGCAUGAUCACCGAGUAUGCCGAGAGGUUCUCGUCCAUGAGUAUCUCUCGGAGAAGCAUACCAUCUGUCAUGUACUUGAUGACGGUCUCAAGCCCUGUGCAGUCCUCGAACCGGAUGGCAUAUCCAACCUCCUCACCCAAACGGCAGCCGAAUUCUUCUGCCACCCUCUUGGACACGGACAUGGCGGCCACCCUUCGAGGUUGCGUGCAGCCGAUUUUCCCCCUCGAAGUGUAUCCUGCCUCGGCCAGGUACUGCGUCAUCUGAGUUGUCUUUCCCGAGCCGGUCUCACCAAUCACGACCAGCACCUGGUUCUCGUUCACGGCCUUGACGAGGUCCAUCUUCAGCUUGUAAAUCGGCAAGCUCUGUCUCUGCUCUUGAAUCGAAAGCUUCGACCGUUGUCCGAAAGUUGGCGCCUUUCCGAACGCAUUCUUCUUCCAGUCGGGCAUAUCGUACGCAGACAGUCCUACACCCCGGAGUUCUUGUGCUAGGCGCCGCUCUCCUGUCUCUGGCAUGGGAUCCUCCCAUGAACGAUUCAAGUCCUUGGGUAUAGAGUCCAGCAUUGUUCGCUGCUGCUGCUCCCUUCUCUCUUUAGCCAGAGGCAAUUGAGUUAUCGCUGCUCUCUGCAAAGAACCGUCAGGGUUCCUGACGAUCUUCAGAGGUGAGAGAUCAAUCGAGUACCUUGUUUGUCCCCUCAAGAACGCAGGCUUGUCCUCGUUCGGCAAUAUUUCAAGCUCUACUUCUGCACCAUCAUCGUGAAACAGCAUACCACCUCCGUCAUCGUCAUGCAUGGGAUUGUCUCGCAUGCCCAGCACCCCUGAAGCAGCCAGCUGCGUUCUUUCAAACCUCUCUGGAGAGCUCAUUUUCUUGGAAGGCCGAGGAGCGUCUGAGGUGUCGUCGAUCAGUGGAAUCCCAGAAAGGCCCAUCCUUGUCGUCGAUGGCUUGUUGGCAAUGGAAGGAUUGGUUCUAAAGUCAUCCUCUUCAUUUCCCGAUGGCUUGAGAAUAGGAACCAGAUCGUCCCCGCUUUCCUGGUCCACGUCUCUCAUAGAGAGACUCAUCUUCCCACCCUUCAAAGACACCACCUUCACCCAGACCUCCUGGCCCCUCUUCACAACAUCCUUGGCAUGCUCAACCCUCCGAGAAGCCAUCUCAGACUUAUGGACGAGUCCUUCCGCGAAGGACCCGUUAAGCUGAACAAAGCAUCCAGAAUCCAUUAUCCUCUGCACCCUGCCCUUGUAAAUCUUGUAGAGCUCUGGCCUGGACUCGGGCUCCCGACGAUGGUCUUCCUCGUCUCUGCUGCUUCUCCCACUGCUCCUGCUAUCCGUGUCCCUAUGCCUUUCUCCAUCUCGAUCCCGCUCGCAAUCCCUCUCCUCUUUAUCUCGCUCCUUCCCUCUAACAUUCUCCCUCCCCCGAUGUCUAUCCUUGUCUUUCCUCACGGGCGGGAAAAUGGCGUGAAUGAUCAUCAGCAGCUUCUUGACGAAGUAAUCCUGGAACUCCGCCCCGUUUUCCUUGAGCCUCCCGCCGAAUUCCUCCAAGCUCUCGCUGUGCCGGCCAAGCUCGAUGAUAAACUCGGCCAGCGUCUUGUUGCUGCACCCUAAGUGCGUUUCCAGCUCGGUGCAUACCUUUGACACGAGCGACAAGUACUCAAGCUUCUCCUGGAGCUCCAUCACUGCAGCUCUGCCCUAGCCCUAGAAAUCCGCCCUUUAUAGAACUUGUUUUAAUCUUUAUAUAACCAUGGUUGCUUACUAAACUUUUAGGCUGUUUAUUCAGUUAAGCAAACUUUAUUCCUUUUUGUUCACCAAAUGUUCAAAAAUUGAUACUUUAAAGAUCCACCCAAUCUUGUAUUUAUGACAAUUUUAGUAAGAAAAGUUUGGAGGUUAUUAAUUUUUUAAAAUACAGCUCAAAGGCACUUACAAAACUUUGUGACAAAGUUGGCCAUCAUGGGAUCGUAGUCGGGAGCUUCCAUUUGGAAAUGGCCCGACUCCAGGGACAAGGUAUGUCUCAGCUCCCAACUGCGGACUUGUGCUUGGAUUCCAGCUGCUUGAUGCUCGUGAAUCCAUCAUGAGUUCCCCAUGACGAACAGCUUGGGCUUGGCCGACUGGAGGAUGCCUUUGUUGUAUGGCCAAAGAGAACCGGUGCCCAGACCAAACGGGUAGCCCAGCCCCACAUAUCCCACUACUUCUUUCACCUGAUCCACAGCCGAGCCAGCAAUUAGAGCCCCUGGAAUCGAGAAAGAGAAACUAUAGUUAGAAAUGGAUGCUCCAUGCUCUCUUCUUGAUGAUCAUCCAUCAAGAGUUCCUGUUUUGAUCAAGCAAUGCUUCCAAACAAGACUAAAAUAAAAAGGAAAUCCACAAGAGAACUCCAAAGCUUGGGAGAAGACAAAACACUUCCUACCAAGAGACAAAGAGGAGGAAGAACAGCUAUGGAAAAACUAGUGUCCAAACAGACAAGAAACAAGAUUGGGAUUUCAUAUACUCGCUGAGUUUCACAUUGUGGGGGCUUUUGCUGUUGCUUGAAAGGGUCUACAAAGGUCCUUGAUGUUGAUUUUGCAAAGACCACCCAAUAAUCAGGGCAGCACUCUUCCUCUUGUUUGAGAAAAUUGGGUUUGUGAGUGAGGCAUAUUAGCAAUUUAGGUUACACUUUGAGGCCAUGUUACCAUGGGUAAAAAUAAACCUUCAUUGGGUUUGCUAUGAAUGGUGAAUAGGCUAGUUUAUAGCUGUUUAGCAUAUGAGUGGAUUAAUUAAAAUUAUAAGGAUUAAUUUAUUAGUUUAGAUAAUCAUUGUUGUGCUCUUUUGUAAACUUUUUUUAUAUUGAAAGUUUAAGGAUUAGUUAGAGUUUGAGUCCAAAAAAGAGAGUCAUCAAAGAUGAAGAAUCAAGUACGUAAAUCAUCUUUUCUUCUUCGAAAGAUGAUUUAGCAAAAAGAUAUGAUAUCAUUGCUUGUAUUUAUAUCAUGCAAUUAAAAGUCUCUACUUUAAUGCAUGUUAUUUAUAAUAGUUUUACAAGUGGUGAGUUGUGGGAUGGAUAGUAGUGAAGUGUUAAAUUAUUUUUUUUAAGCUUGCUAUUGAAAGCUUGAGUUGCAAUGCUUAAUUAUUUUCUAAGGAACUAUUGCAAAUGUAACUGUGUGUAUUGAAAGUUACUUGUUGGCAAGUUCUUUCAUAUAUUCUUUCCUUAUUGCUAUGACAGUAGAGGGUUGAGAUUGGUAAACCCUUUAUUAGUCUCCACUCAAACUAGUUGAGAAAUUAAUUAUCAUGUAUGUACUUAUACUGGAUAAAUAUAAGGUAGGAACUCUUAUACGUUUUUUGUUGAGCAUACUCAACCUGGUAUAAAAAACUUAUAUGUUAGUAUGCACUUGCUAAUGUUAGGAACCCCUGCGAUAUUGAGUUUGAUCCCUUAAUAUUUGCUAGAUGAUAGAUUAUCAUGUCUGUUAUAUAUAUUAAAUGGAAAGUGUCUAAAUUAGUUAUUUAUACAUAUCUAUGGAAUGUAGAUAUUGUCGUGAACAUGAUGAUGUUCUCGUGUCUAAAUUUGCAAUCUACUACCAUUUCAUAUUUAAUAAAUUUUUAUGAUUGUCCUAAAGAUUAACUUCUGAGACUGAGGAAAGCCCAAAAUAUGCAUUCCUUAGGGGGGGUUCUAAAUGUAUAAUAGGGGUGGGGGGCAUGGCCAAUUAACCUAAGGUAUAGCUUAAUUCUUAUUUGUGUGUUUAUCUUUGUUUUGCAUUUAAUUUGGGUCUAGGCCCAAAUUCCAUAUUAUGGUAGUUGAUAGAGAACCCAUAUCUUUAUGUUAAGCUAUUGGUAUGUUGAAAUAGUAUUAAAUUUUGUUUAGCUUCAUUUUGCAUGUUGAUUUUAGCAUUAGGAUGCUAGAUGCUUUAGAACUAUUCUUAUAUUACUUUGUACUCCUAUCCCUUUGCUCCUUAGGUUGUACGUUAAAAAAUUGUUCUAUGCUCCACUUCUUUAGCUCAUUGAUUCCAUGAUUAAGAGUUUGGCUUUAUCCCUUCAUUUAGUGGUCCAAGGCUUUAAAACUCAAAUUCUAGUUUAUUAUUGUUGGACACAUGGCAUAUAAAGAGUUUAGGUUCCACUUCGUGGUAAUCUUAUGGUAAAGAACCAUAGAAUAAAGAGGUGAAAACCACAUGUGUUACAUUUGUUAUCAGAGAAUAAGUCUCAAUGAGUACUAUUAAUGAGCUGGGGCAAUUAGUCUCGUUGUAUAUGUAAAGAUGAAAACAUUGAUCUGAGUGGGUACAUAUUUGGGUGUUAUAACUUUGCAUUUGUUCCUUAUGUAUAGAUUUUGGUUACCUUUUGUACCAAAAUAUAUUUACUUUUGCUUGGGUUCAUAAGUUGGAUAUGAGAUGUUCCAUUUGCAUGAGUUUGUGCUUAGGCUCAUGAGUAAGGCACAUUAGCAACUCAAAGUUAUACAUUGAGUUGACAGAAUUAAUGUUAGCCUAUCGAUGGUUAUCAUGAGGUGUUUCGUAUUACUGUGGGUGAAAGUAAACGUCCCUUGGAUUUGCUAUGAGUGGCAAAUAAAUUGGUCUAUUGGAUUUUAUACACUUUUGUUUGAUUAGACUGAAGAUAUUGCAAAUGCAAGUUUAAGGUUUGGUCAAAGUUAAUCCAAAAAGAGAGUCAUUAGAAACUAAGGAUCAAACAUAUAAAUUAUUUUCUCUUUUUAGAGAGAUGAUUUACAAUGAGAUGUGAAUUUAUUGCUCAUGUUCACAUAAUGCAAUCAAGAGUCCUAUCUUGAUGCAUGUUAGUUAUAAUAACCUUAUAAGUAGUGAAUCAUAUGAAUGAAGCACUAAACCAUUUUGUCUAAACUUACUAUUAAAGAUUUAGAUAUAAUCCUUAAUUAUUUUCUAAGGAAGCUUAUGAUUGCUUCUUGAGUAACUUGCUUACAAACCUGAGAAAAUUGUAAAUCUAUGAAACUCUUUCUAAAUUUCUAAAUAGCUUGUUACAUAAAGAAUUGGGAGAAUAGUGCCUAGCUACAAUCAUUUGUUCUCUAACAAAACUGUGAGUCACCAGCCAUAAAUCUUUCUUCUUUAAGCAGUUCACAUUUACUUUUGGCUGUUAUGCACCAAGUAACUGUUAACUAUCUAGUUUUAUACCUGACCUACCCAGCUCACACAUUUGUAAGCUUGCAGGAAGGUGUACAACUUGUAAGAUGUAUCUAAUGAACGGUGUUAUUGCAGGAAUUUGAGUUUCAACAACCUGUCUGGGACAAUUCCAGCAUACUUAUCAUCUUUUGAUAGUCUUAGCAGACUGUAAGUUUUUUCAUCUAUUGAGUUAAAUCUAAACGGGAAGCCGAGCAUUUUUAGUUUCUUGGGAAGCAACAAUCUAGCUAGAGGCCUUCUGAACAAGCUAUUGAGGAUCAUCGACUUGUACAUAGACUGCAAAAUCGUUCUCCUCUUCUAACCAGGUUAUAUAUAUACAGAGAUGUAUCGUUCAACAGGCUGAUUGGACCUUUCCCUCAAAUAAGCGAGUACAUGUUUUUAUUCUAAGCAACAUGCUAUUAAUUUUUCUAAACGUGCAAGGUUCUCAAAAAGUUUCAUCUCACCACGUUCUCGUUGCAGGCAACAUGCGAAUGCUUCUACAUGUAUACAGGAUAUAGCAAACUGCAGCAAUGUGAACCAAAGAAACGAUAUUUGCUGCAUAUAAAGUCUUCGAUUGAUUUAGACAUAUUUCUUUCUCAGGUUUUCAAUUCGCCAUCAACUGUGGAGGACCUCAGAUCACUUCGAAUGGGACAGAUUUUAACGCAGAUAUGCCAAGGGCUUUUAUGGACGGGGACUCCUAUUCAACGGGAGGAUGGGUAUCUAGCAGCUCUGGUUUUGCGGAAUCCUUUGAUGAUAACCCCACUUGGCCUCAAAGCAUAGAAGGAUCGGCUGGUCGGCAGGCUGUACUGUAUCGAACCGCCAGAGCUGUGCCAACAUCUUUGAGGUACCUCGGAGUUGGCAUGCAAAGUGGCUCAUACACAGUACACCUCCACUUUGCAGAGAUUAUCAUCGGCACUGGCCAGGAUGGGCCAGGAGUGGGUCGACGGUAUUUUGACGUCUUUAUCCAAGCUCAAAGAUUUCAACAUAAGGGAAGAAGCCAAUGGGUCUCUUAGAGCUUUGAGAAGGAGCUUCACUGCCGUUAAUGUAUCUAACGGCGUUCUGGACAUUCAUCUUCUU